rnacentral:rRNA from 1 species
AGUCACUGACAUUAGACUACCCGGUAGUCCAGGGUGUAAACGCUGCAGACUUGGUGUUGGAAGUCCUUUGGGGGCAUUCAGUGCCGGAGAGAAGUUGUUAAGUCUGCUACUUGGGGAGUACGUCCGCAAGGAUGAAACUUAAAGGAGUUGGCGGGGGAGCACCGCAACGGGAGGAGCGUGCGGUUUAAUUGGAUUCAACACCGUAAAACUCACCAGGGAAGACUGUUACAUGAAAGCCGAGAUGAAGACUCUGCUAGAUUUUCAG